UACACGCUGUGACUAGCAUAUCAAUAAGCGGAGGAAAAGAAACUAACAAGGAUUCCCCUAGUAACAGCGAGUGAAGCGGGAAGAGCUCAAAUUUGAAAUCUUAAAGGGUUUCCCUUUACGAAUUGUAGUUUAAAGAAGUGGUUUCUGUUGAGGUUUUGGUAAAAGUUCUUUGGAAUAGGACAUCAUAGAGGGUGAGAAUCCCGUAUUUGACCUUUACUUUCAACUUUGUGAUACACUUUCAAAGAGUCGGAUUGUUUGGGAAUGCAGUCCAAAAUGGGUGGUAAAUUUCAUCUAAAGCUAAAUAUUGGCGAGAGACCGAUAGCGAGCAAGUACCGUGAGGGAAAGAUGAAAAGAACUUUGAAAAGAGAGUUAAACAGUACGUGAAAUUGUCAAAAGGGAAGCGUUUGACACCAGUGUUGUUUUUCUGAAAAUCAAUUAAAGAACUGUUUAUGCUAAGUUGUUUAGACUUUAUCAGCUAACUGUUUAGUUUUGAGCUUUUCUUUAAUGCACUUUUCAGUUAACAAGUCAACAUCAAUUUCUUUUGCUGUAAAAAAGCUUGAGGAAGGUGGCUUGAGAUUCGUCUUAAGUGUUUAUAGCCUCUUGCCUAUGCAGUCGGAGAGAUUGAGGUCUGCAGCGUAGAUCCUUCGGGGCUAAAUGCAUUUGUGCUAAGUUAUAGCAUUUUAUAGACAAGCUUGUUGACUAUGAUUUGUCUUGUAGCUUACUCGGCUUAUAUGUUAUUUUACCUACGCUUAGGAUGUUGACGAGACUGUCGAUCUC
rnacentral:rRNA from 1 species